GCGAGUGUGGUUCAAUGGCAGAACGCGACCUUCCCAAGGUUGAAACGGGGGUUCGAUUCCCCUCACUCGCUCCA
rnacentral:tRNA from 3 species